rnacentral:lncRNA from 1 species
AAUUUUAAGAUGUUGAUACUGAUGACAAAAUGGAGGUCAAAUUUGAUAUUGACGAUUUUCACUUUCACCAUUCAUCAGUAAUGGUUCUUGUGAUAUUGCCAGGACACAAAUAAAUAUUAAUAAAUCCGGUUUGCUGUCGUUGUGACAGCCUCUUGUUGGUCCUGUUUUCAAAUUGGUCUACACUAAAGUCCAAAGGGUCCAAAAUUAAACUUAGUCUGAUUUUAACAAAAAUUGAAAUCUUGGGGUUCUUUGAUAUGCUGAAUCCAAAAAUGUACUUAGAUUUUUUAUUAUGGGC